rnacentral:rRNA from 1 species
UACGGAGGGUGCGAGCGUUGUUCGGAAUCACUGGGCGUAAAGGGCGUGUAGGCGGCCCGCUAAGUCUGAUGUGAAAGCCCGGGGCUCACCCCCGGAAGGGCAUUGGAAACUGGCGGACUCGAGUCCCGGAGAGGAGGGUGGAAUUCCCGGUGUAGCGGUGAAAUGCGUAGAUAUCGGAAGGAACACCUGUGGCGAAAGCGGCUCACUGGACCACAACUGACGCUGAGGCGCGAAAGCUAGGGGAGCAAACAGG